UGAGGAAUAUUGGUCAAUGGACGGAAGUCUGAACCAGCCAAGUAGCGUGCAGGAUGACGGCCCUAUGGGUUGUAAACUGCUUUUGUAUGGGGAUAAAGUCAAUCACGUGUGAUUGUUUGCAGGUACCAUACGAAUAAGGACCGGCUAAUUCCGUGCCAGCAGCCGCGGUAAUACGGAAGGUUCGGGCGUUAUCCGGAUUUAUUGGGUUUAAAGGGAGCGUAGGCCGGAGAUUAAGUGUGUUGUGAAAUGUAGACGCUCAACGUCUGACUUGCAGCGCAUACUGGUUUCCUUGAGUACGCACAACGUUGGCGGAAUUCGUCGUGUAGCGGUGAAAUGCUUAGAUAUGACGAAGAACUCCGAUUGCGAAGGCAGCUGACGGGAGCGCAACUGACGCUGAAGCUCGAAGGUGCGGGUAUCGAACAGGAUUAGAUACCCUGGUAGUCCGCACAGUAAACGAUGGAUGCCCGCUGUUGGUACCCAGUAUCAGCGGCUAAGCGAAAGCAUUAAGCAUCCCACCUGGGGAGUACGCCGGCAACGGUG
rnacentral:rRNA from 1 species